AGCAGCCGCGGUAAUUCCAGCUCCAAUAGCGUAUAUUAAAGUUGUUGCAGUUAAAAAGCUCGUAGUUGAAUUUCGGGAUUAACGUGACGGUCGUGCCUUAAGGGGUAUGAACUGUUACAGUUAAUUUCUCACCUUCUGGAGAAAUAUGAUGUCCUUAAUUGGGUGUCAUAUGGAACCAGGACUUUUACCUUGAAAAAAUUAGAGUGUUUAAAGCAAGCUUAUUGCUCGAAUACAUUAGCAUGGAAUAAUAAAAUAGGACGGCUUGAUUCUAUUUUGUUGGUUUCUAGGAUCACCGUAAUGAUUAAUAGGGAUAGUUGGGGGCAUUAGUAUUCAAUUGUCAGAGGUGAAAUUCUUGGAUUUAUUGAAGACUAACUACUGCGAAAGCAUUUGCCAAGGAUGUUUUCAUUAAUCAAGAACGAAAGUUAGGGGAUCGAAGACGAUCAGAUACCGUCGUAGUCUUAACCAUAAACUAUGCCGACUAGGAAUCAGACGAUGUUAAUUUUUAAUGACUCGUUUUGGC
rnacentral:rRNA from 1 species